GACGAACCGAGCGAACGUUAUUCGGAAUCACUGGGCUUAAAGGGCGCGUAGGCGGGCCGUCAAGUCGAGGGUGAAAGCCCCCAGCUCAACUGGGGAAGUGCCUCCGAUACUGGCGGUCUCGAGGGAGAUAGGGGCGUGCGGAACUUCCGGUGGAGCGGUGAAAUGCGUAGAUAUCGGAAGGAACACCGGUGGCGAAAGCGGCGCGCUGGAUCUCUUCUGACGCUGAGGCGCGAAAGCCAGGGGAGCGAACGGG
rnacentral:rRNA from 1 species